GCGGAAAGAUAAAAUAUCUUAAAAUCGAUUCUAGAAACCCUUGGACCAGUGUGGGUGUCCGUUGCGGUGCUACAUUCUCUAAUC
ensembl:ncRNA Y62F5A.14 ncRNA